rnacentral:rRNA from 1 species
AUUGAACGCUGGCGGCAUGCCUUACACAUGCAAGUCGAACGGUAACAGGUCUUCGGAUGCUGACGAGUGGCGAACGGGUGAGUAAUACAUCGGAACGUGCCCGAUCGUGGGGGAUAACGGAGCGAAAGCUUUGCUAAUACCGCAUACGAUCUACGGAUGAAAGCAGGGGACCGCAAGGCCUUGCGCGGACGGAGCGGCCGAUGGCAGAUUAGGUAGUUGGUGGGAUAAAAGCUUACCAAGCCGACGAUCUGUAGCUGGUCUGAGAGGACGACCAGCCACGCUGGGACUGAGACACGGCCCAGACUCCUACGGGAGGCAGCAGUGGGGAAUUUUGGACAAUGGGCGAAAGCCUGAUCCAGCCAUGCCGCGUGCAGGAUGAAGGCCUUCGGGUUGUAAACUGCUUUUGUACGGAACGAAAAGACUCUUUCUAAUAAAGAGGGUCCAUGACGGUACCGUAAGAAUAAGCACCGGCUAACUACGUGCCAGCCGCCGCGGUAAUAC